rnacentral:rRNA from 1 species
GAUAAACGCUGGCGGCGUGCCUAAUACAUGCAAGUCGAGCGAACAGAUGAGGAGCUUGCUCCUCUGACGUUAGCGGCGGACGGGUGAGUAACACGUGGAUAACCUACCUAUAAGACUGGGAUAACUUCGGGAAACCGGAGCUAAUACCGGAUGAUAUAUUGAACCGCAUGGUUCAAUAGUGAAAGACGGUUUUGCUGUCACUUAUAGAUGGAUCCGCGCCGCAUUAGCUAGUUGGUAAGGUAACGGCUUACCAAGGCAACGAUGCGUAGCCGACCUGAGAGGGUGAUCGGCCACACUGGAACUGAGACACGGUCCAGACUCCUACGGGAGGCAGCAGUAGGGAAUCUUCCGCAAUGGGCGAAAGCCUGACGGAGCAACGCCGCGUGAGUGAUGAAGGUCUUCGGAUCGUAAAACUCUGUUAUUAGGGAAGAACAAAUGUGUAAGUAACUAUGCACGUCUUGACGGUACCUAAUCAGAAAGCCACGGCUAACUACGUG